AAUAGUCUAACGGCUGAACCAGCAACUAGGGGGAAUGAGUUUUGUAUAUUGAACAAAGCGAAGGAUUAUAUCUUAUAAAGUUCUAGGUAAAGAAUUGAUCAUGACAGUUUUUAUCUAUAUGUCUUGGCUAAAUUUUGUGCCAGCAGCCGCGGUAAUACAAAGGAGACUAGUGUUAUUCAUCUUUAUUAGGUUUAAAGGGUACCUAGACAGCUUAUCAAGCACCCUUCGUGGGAUUGAAACAGAUUAGCUAGAGUUUUAUGUAAGAGGCGAAUAAAGUACGUAAAGUGUAGAGAUGAAAUUUUUUGAUACUUUUGGGACGGAUAAAGGUAUAAACAAACCUCCAUGUAAAAACUGACGUUGAGGGACGAAGGCAUUGUAUCACGAACAGGAUUAGAUACCCCAGUAGUCUUUGCAGACAAUGAUGAAUGCCAUAAGUUUGAAAAUUAAAGUUCAGGUUUAUAAAUGAAAGUGUAAGCAUUCCACCUCAUGAGUAAUGUGGCAACGCAGGAAUUGAAAUCAUUAGACCGUUUCUGAAAAAAGUAGUGAAGUAUGUUGUUUAAUUCGAUGAUCCGCGAAAAACCUUACCACAAUUUGUAUAGUAUUUAAUUGUUAAAUAUUACAAGCGUUGCACGGCUGUCUUUAGUUGGUGUCGUGAGAUCUGGCUCUCCUUUAAUCAACGAAAACCCCUACUUUAUUUAUUUUAAAGUUGUUCUCCGUUACAUAGGAUAAGAUAACAGGGACUAAGACAAGUCAUCAUGACCUGAAUAUUGUGGGCUAUAGAUGUGCCACAUACACUUGAACAAAAGGAUGCGAAAAUGUGAAUUUGAGCUAAUCCCCAAAACAAGACAAUAU
rnacentral:rRNA from 1 species